UUUAACAGAUGAUGGGUUACCCGAUCUCUGAAGGCAAGCUGGACGAGAAGACGGCCUCGUCACUCUUAUGGCAGUCCUACCCCGUCACUAACAUCCCUGAGGCACUGAUCCCAGCGGUCAUUGAGAAGUAUUUAGGAGGGA